rnacentral:misc_RNA from 1 species
AACUUCUGGCAAUGGAUCACUUGGCUCUCGCAUCGAUGAAGAACGCAGCGAAAUGCGAUACGUAAUGUGAAUUGCAGAAUUCAGUGAAUCAUCGAAUCUUUGAACGCACCUUGCGCCCCCUGGCAUUCCGAGGGGCACACCCGUUUGAGUGUCGUGAAAUUCUCAAAAUCCUUUUCUUUGACCGGAAUAGGUCUUUUGGACUUGGAGGUUCAAAGCUCGCUUUCUGCUUUGAAAGCGAGCUCCUCUCAAAUGAAUCAGUGGGGUCCGCUUUGCUGGUCCUUGACGUGAUAAGAUGCUUCUACGUUUUGGAUUUGGCAUUGUUUUCUCCGCUCCUACCUGUCCCCAUGGGACAACGAUGGUGCUUCGGUCGUCGCCAUCUAUGGCGGGAGGCUGAACCCACAAAGAACUUUGACCUCAAAUCGGGUGAGACUACCCGCUGAACUUAAGCAUAUCAAUAAGCGGAGGCU